AUGAAAUUUUCACUAUGGAUAAUCAUAAUAAUAAUAUAGAGAUGAUUGAACGUGUCGCGUUUUGCAGGAUGUAGGACAGGCGGUGCUCGAGAGCUAUUCAAGAGUGCUGGAAGGUUUGGCGUUUAACAUCGUUGCUUGGAUCGACGAUGUACUGUUUGUAGAUAAAACAAUGAAAAGUCAGGAGUAGCAGCAGGUGAUGGAAAGUAACAGGAAUUCUUAGUGAAAUUAUUUGUUCUAGUAUAGGCAAGAAGAGAAGCCCUUCAUAGACAAUAUUUUUGCUUUUCCUAAUGAAGGGAUCAAAUCAUCAAUGUAAUUAUUUUUGCCUUUGCAGCCCUUCAUAGUCUCUUUUUGCAGUCAUUUUUCAUGUACAAGUGUCAAGGACAAACACUAAUUUGUUGAGUUUCAGUCAUUCUACAACUAAAACCUCUCAACAUAAUCUUGUUUAGAUCAUGUUUAGGGAUCCAAGAAGCACAUCAUUAGAGAAAAAUCUCAUGUAAAUGAUUGAUAUGAAAAAGAACUGCUACAGAAAAUUCCAUAUUCCAUAAACUAUCCCUCUAAAGAUUCUUGGAGUUUCAUUACAGUCAAGAGUCCCCAUUCCAUGAAAAUACAGAAUCUUUAAAAACUUCUGAGUCUGGUUUUGUUUGAGUAGCAGAGGGAAAAGGUUCGGUUUGAUGUUCCGACACUUCAGUUUCUUCUUCAAAAGCUCUCAAAUCAAAAGAAUCCUGCUGUGAAUUAAUAGUCUUACCAUCCUUGGCACCUGUGACACCUCAUCUUAUCGUAACUGAUUACACAUAAUUCCAACACGCUUUCGAUAUUUUCUUUAGGCUCGCUCUGAAUAAGAGGACGAGAAACAGGAGCUUCACAUCUUACACUUGUCACUCAACUUAAAAUCCUCAAUAUAGAUGGAUUAUUAAUCUGGUAUAAAGAACAAAGGCAACUAAGAGAACAUAUUACAACUUGUGAAUAAGAAGUGAUAUAUAACACAUGCUCUGGCUUCGUCACAUUUCAGGUAUUACAGCAUAAACUGAAAGCUACGUAGAUGAUGUAGCAUUCUGUCAGAAGCAGCACUUGUUGGUUCCAAAGAUUCAAAGGAACUGAUUCCUCCUUCACAUACGAUGUAGAUAGACCAGGCUGGAUUUCUUAGGCAAAACUUACCAAAGGUGGCUAAAACAUAGAUAGAGUAAAGAAAUACAGAAAUUGGAAUUAAGCUCUUACUUCUAUGUAACACUAAUUUUGAAAAGGAAAAAAGAAAAAAAAAGUAUAUUAGGAACUAAGCCUUAUCCCAUGAGUAAUAAAUUCAGAAUUGAAAGAGGUAAUAUAUCUCUUUCUCAACCGAACCUAUUCUCACUGUCAUGAAGCUCUUUAUUUUUUUAUCUUUUACUCCUUUCGUCCCCCAAAUAACUAUCUAACUUUCCUUUUCGAUCCGUCCCCAAAAUAAUUUCCCUUUCUAUUUUUAGAUUAUACCACAUCAUUAAUAUUACCCCAUUUACCCUUACUUUUCAUUUUUCACAUUUUCAUCUUAAAACUCGUGCCCUCCCUUCAAGGAAAUUAUUUUGGGGACGGGAGGAGUAUUUAUUAUGCAUAUACAUAUAUAUUUUUUAAAGUUCAAAAAGCUCUCUCUAAUGACAAAAAAAGGACUCAAUAUUUAAUUAUCUUACAUGGUAAAUAAAGUUUCAUAAUCAAGCCUAGGACCUAGAAUAAUCUUCUAUCCUUCAUAAGAGUAUAAAACAAAUACCCAACACUAAUAUAAACAUGGUUCCAAAGCAAUAACAGAAGUUACUGCUUUUGUUUUCCAUGCUUAUCAAUAUCCUAAAUCUUCUCCGCGAAAGUCUAAUGUAAUUUUCUUCGAGACCAAACACUAAACCAGCAUCCAUGAUAACUGUAUUCUUUUAACUACUAUAUCUAAACUUUACCCACCAUUGCAACUUUUGCCUAACAAAUCCAUCCAGAUCUAACAUUUUAUCGUCUGUGAGAAGGGUGAGUGCUUGAACCUUUAAACCAGCAGAAAUGCUUGGUGCAGCAAAGAGAUUUUUGAAUUUUUUAGUUCUAUAACAAGGAACUAGGAAAAGGGGGCUAGCUAUAAAUGGUUUAAAACUGAUGCAAAUAUGUUAUGCCGUGAUUCAGGAUACGAUAAAAAACUUGUAAGGCAGUUGCACAUACCAAAGCGGCCAGCUUACCAAACUGAUGCCGAAGAAUCUUAGUACACGUAGGAUGAGUUCGUUAUGAUGGCUAGAACAAAGAUUCACUCUGUAAGACUGUAACGACAAGAUUCUGUAAGCUAGGAACUGCAAGAAAUCAGGGAAACCUGCGCAUUUACUAAACCUCAUUAAAACUCAUAAGCAGGAAAGAUUAUAACAAUCCCAACAAAAGAUGAUUAGUUUUUGCACAGUUUAAAUGAAGCUUAAUGUCAGCCACAAAUGUCACACAAGAUUCAAAUAACUGACACAAAUUAGAUCCCUUAAACAAAUAAAACAUUUUUUUCCCUGUUUAGUGGCUUUUGGUGUCUGCAUUUAUCUGAUUAUUUGUCACUAAUACAAAUGGAUUUAGGUCAAACAAAAUCAUACUACUAAACAGAAUCUCCCUCUUGAGCCAUAAUACUGCAGCAACAGCAAUAAAAACUGAUUCUUUAAAGUUUACAGCAUACAAGGAUCUAAUCAAACAAAGAAGAACUCAAUAACAAAUGCAGAUUCUCGCAAAAAGAAGAUAAUAAAAAUAAAAAUAAAAAAUAAAAAACAAGUUCCAAAUUCGUAAACUUGUCACAAAUCCAAAAACAAUAAUCAGAAAUGCAAGAAAUAUAUCUUCAUCUACCAGAAAAUCAUAAAAAGUAAAAAAUCAAAGCCUUGAGCUACUUGUUAAAACCUUAUGACUAAACCAUCUGAAUUCGACUGAAAAAAAAAAAAUUGAUUCUUGCAAUUGAAACACACAGAGAGAGAGAGAGAGAGAUGAGCAAUUAGGGUUACACUGAUACAGUUUAAAUAGGGAAGAAAAAUAUGUGAAAUUAAUUGCAGUAAUUCAAGUGAAGAAUCUACAGCUAAUGAAUUGAAGGCCACUGGAAUCAGGUUUUCACCAUCUGCCAACGAUUUAUUACCUUUUUUAGGCACCUCUCAAAAUUCAGUUUUAACAGAUAUUGAAACUUCUGUGAUUUGUUGUCUCAUAUUCAGAUUUACAAUUUAAUUACAAAUUGCGACUCUUAUUUUGACAAUCUUUCUGAAAUUUCCACUUAAAUUAUAAAAAAUCUUAAGACAAA
rnacentral:lncRNA from 1 species